CAAAAAACAAACUUAACUUCUCUUUUCAAGUUCAGAAAUUUUCCUUUUCUACUUCUUCUUCUUCUUAGACAAAUCAUGUCUUACUGUGGUGGAAGCUGUGGCUGUUGGUCAGGCUGUAUCUGCGACGCUAGCAAUGGAGGGUGCAAGAUGUACCCAGACAUUGAUGAUAGCUACGACAGUCAAAGCUUUAUCGUUGGUGUUGCCCCUCCUCAUACAUCGUUCAUAUCGGGGAUGGGUUAGAAGGAGAUGAUGAUGAUAACGGUAUCGUUGGUGCUCAUGUCAAAAUUCAAGCUAUUUAGGUCCUUCAACUGUGACGGAGGCAGCUAGUCCACAGUUAUGAAGUAAUACCAAUGUGUUCUUGUUGUCUAGUAUUUUAGUGUUGUUGUAAGAAUAAAGUUGGAUAUGUAUAUAUGGUUGUUCCUACCAAUACCACCAUACAUACCUACUCAACUAUAUAAGUAUUA